AAUGAACGCUGGCGGCAUGCCUAACACAUGCAAGUCGAACGAAGGCUUCGGCCUUAGUGGCGCACGGGUGCGUAACGCGUGGGAAUCUGCCCUUGGGUUCGGAAUAACUCAGAGAAAUUUGAGCUAAUACCGGAUGAUGACGAAAGUCCAAAGAUUUAUCGCCCAAGGAUGAGCCCGCGUAGGAUUAGCUAGUUGGUGAGGUAAAGGCUCACCAAGGCGACGAUCCUUAGCUGGUCUGAGAGGAUGAUCAGCCACACUGGGACUGAGACACGGCCCAGACUCCUACGGGAGGCAGCAGUGGGGAAUAUUGGACAAUGGGCGAAAGCCUGAUCCAGCAAUGCCGCGUGAGUGAUGAAGGCCUUAGGGUUGUAAAGCUCUUUUACCCGGGAUGAUAAUGACAGUACCGGGAGAAUAAGCUCCGGCUAACUUCGUGCCAGCCGCCGCGGUAA
rnacentral:rRNA from 1 species